rnacentral:lncRNA from 1 species
CAACUAUAGUAUAAGUAUAAGUAGGGAUCGUUCUGGACCGGGGAUUAGGAAGGCUUGCUAAUAACCUCUAAACUGACUCAAAAACAUAAAACUAAACUUAAAAAUACUUAACAAGACUCACAAGACUCAAAGCAAACUUAAAAUACUCAAAAUAGCUUAAAACAACUAAAUAAACUUAAACUAGACACUAGGAAUGACUUUGGACGAAAAUUGACUUUUACUUGAAUCAAAACAUUUAAAAACACAAAUUAAAACAGAUUCUAACUAAUUAGACACUCUAAAGUAAAAGGGGAUUGAGUUUUAGACGAAGUUGAAACAAACAAACAAGUAUGAAAAACUAGACAGAUUGUAAAACAAAUUUGAGAAAUAAGAUGAUGGAUAGGAUAGCUAGAGGUUUUUUCUCCACACAUGACAUGUAUGCAAAUAACUCGAUUUCCAGCUACUACUUCAUUGAAUUAUGAACGACAAUACUCUAAAUUAACCGUAACAUCACUAGUUAACUCUCAGAUUUUCCUUAUUUUAUUAGAUUGGAUGACAUCAUUCAACAACCCAAAAUAUUCUUCUAAAGUUCCCUACAUGACAUCAUAAUAGAGAUACAAUCAAAGAUCAUUACGUUUAAUGAAAAUCAUAAGCAUUGACAAAGCACUUGCAACUAUGACAUCAUGUCACUCAUGCUAGGAAUUGAACUUAACGUGAUCGUUUAUAAGUGACCUUCACUACAUGUGAAUAUAAGUUUGUAACGAUUAUGUGAAACUUCCUUAUAUUCUAGCAACGGAUUUAUGCAUGCCAAUUAAGUGUCGACACUUAAUUAACAAAUACAAAUAAGUUAUCAAUCAAAUAGUUAAGCCAAUUGCAUUCACGAUUCAAGAGUUCAUAACUGGAAUUUAUCAAAUUAUAUUACAUACAUAAUCAUGGCUUUCAAAUCACCCCUAGUCAAGAGGGGUUUAGCCACUCAUACUUACAACAUAACGAAAGGAAAUGAAUUUAAACAUUAGAAACAAAAGAAAGAAAACACCUAAACGCUCCAACGAUCCAGGUUGGACAACAAGCACAUCCAAGCACUUUCCUUCCCUUCCUUUGCUUCAGCACAAGGUGUUGGUGAGUGUUUGAAGGUUUAUUUGUAUGGAGGAAUGGAUGUGUUUGGAUGAAGGUUGUGUUGAAAUGGGAGUGAAUGAUCUAACUAAAUAUGAACUAAAUUUAUGUUACAUGGUAAUGGAGGGGAACAUGGAGUGGUGUAGCAAUUAAGUGCAAUGAUGCAUGAAAUCUGAAAUGAUUGAGGGAACAAGGAAUGGUGUAGCAAUUGAGUGCAAUGAUUCAAUGUAAUGAUGCAUGAAUCUGAAAUGAUGGAAGGAACAAGGAAUGGUGUAGCAAUUAAAUCUUAAAUGAUGGAGGGAACAAGGAAUGGUGUAGCAAUUGAGUGCAAUGAUUCAAUGUAAUGAUGCAUGAAUCUGAAAUGAUUGAGGGAACAAGGAAUGGUGUAGCAAUUUAGUGCAAUGAUUCAAUGUAAUGAUGCAUGAAAUCUGAAAUGAUGGAAGGGACAAGGGU